UUGCCUAAUUUGAUUCCAUGCGGAUGUGGCACUAAAUUUGCCAUUGUCAUGAGGCCAAAUAAGUAUAUCUGAAGAGUUGUUCCUGAUUGGAAUAGCUAUAAUAGUCGGCCAAAGUGAUAACAUUUCGGGAGAAAUAGGAUUAGGGAGACACCAGGUACCGUUAGCAAUGAACUCGAAAACCUUCCAAUCUUUGGGAGCCCCAAGAUCUUUUCGUAUUCUGUCGCCAUAUAAUUGAAAUAUACUCUUCCCAUUCACCCAAGGAUCAUACCACAUAUUAGUACUAGUUCCAGAAGAGAUUGCAUAAGAAAUGUGUUUGAUUAGCCAAUUC
rnacentral:lncRNA from 1 species